GACUAAGCCCUUCAUCCAUAUUAAUGAGGCAUGUGUGGAAGUGGCAGGAGCGUUUGGAGCGUGGCUGAAAGAAAAGUGCUUCUUAACUUGGAGCUGAUAUAAAAUACAAGCCGUCUGCUGGCCUACUGAUGGGAACUUUUUAAAAAAGCCAAGAACCAGAAUACCACUGGAAGACAUCUGUUCCUCUCAUCCUUUAGUGAAGUACAGAUGGAGACUCCUCCGUGGUCUUGGAAUCAAGCAUUUAAAGCCAAGAGGCACCAUCUCCUUAAGAGAGCCAACCAACCAACAAGUCUAACCAAGCCCUUGGCUGCCCUGUCGCUAUCCAUUUCAAGUGGAAGAAAAGAGGCUA